rfam:Candidatus Doudnabacteria bacterium RIFCSPHIGHO2_01_FTLL_46_24 rifcsphigho2_01_scaffold_11328, whole genome shotgun sequence.
CAUUUGAAGAGUUUGAUCCUGGCUCAGGAUGAACGCUGGCGGCGUGCCUAAGACAUGCAAGUCGAGUGAUAGCGCUACGCGCUAUUAUACACGAAAUUACACGAAUACUAACACGAAGGACCACGAACAAGGUUAAACUUUUCGUGUCAAUUAGUGUUUCUAUUAGUAGCCAUUCGUGUGUAUCAGUGCGUAGCGCAGAGUCACGGCGAACGGGUGAGUAAUACCUAGGAACGUCCCUAUAGUUGAGCAUAACCAGCCGAAAGGUUGGAUAAUACUCGAUGUUAUCGCAAGAUAAAAGUCGCAAGACGCUAUAGGUGCGGCCUGGACACCAUCAGCUAGUUGGUAGGGUAACGGCCUACCAAGGCAAUGACGGUUAGGGGCCCUGAGAGGGGAACCCCCCACACUGGGACUGCGACACGGCCCAGACUCCUACGGGAGGCAGCAGUUAGGAAUUUUGGACAAUGGGCGAAAGCCUGAUCCAGCGACGCCGCGUGCACGAAGAAGGCCUUCGGGUUGUAAAGUGCUUUUGCUGCAGAAAAAUUUUUGAUUGUAUGCAGCGAAUAAGAGGUUGCUAACUCUGUAAACGGAAGUCAGAGGUCAGAAGUCAGAGGUCAGAAAAUCGGAUCCAGUCCGAAUUCUGAUUUCGACUUUCGACAUUUACUUCGAGGUGCAGAGAGAGCAUAGUAAUAUGUUCUGAGAAAAUUCCACUAUAUGCUGGAAACUUCUGCAAAAUGCAAAGUACUCCUUGCGAGUGAAAAUCUUUGCCAAACCCAAAAAAGAUCGCCGCUGAUCAUGUGGGUUGCGGAACAAUCAGCAGGGAAGAGCAUCUUAUGAAUUAAUUUCAUAAGGGUUAACUCCCCUCAGAGACUACACGUGGAACCCCUGUAAAGGGAGAUGAUAUAGUCCAACACUGGUUUGCGAGGUAGGAUAUCCGACUUCCGAUUAUCCGACAUCCGACCUCCGAAUUAUGGCCAGCAGCAGCGGUAAUACAGAGACCUCAAGCGUUAUCCGGAAUCAUUGGGCGUAAAGCGUUCCGAUAGGUGGUUUGGUAAGUUUUGGGUAAAAGGCCGAAGCUUAACUUCGGUUUUGCUCAAAAUACUAUCAGACUAGAGGGGCAAAGAGGUGCUUGGAACCAGCGGUGUAGUAGUGAAAUGCGUUGAUAUCGCUGGGAACACCGAAAGCGAAGGCAGAGCACUGGGUGCCUCCUGACACUGCUAGGACGAAAGCGUGGGGAGUGAAUGGGAUUAGAUACCCCAGUAAUCCACGCUGUAAACGAUGAGUGCUAGGAAUGCGCGAGUAUCGACCCUCGUGCGAUCCGCAGCUAACGCGUUAAGCACUCCGCCUGGGGAGUACGGUCGCAAGACUAAAACUCAAAGGAAUUGACGGGGACCCGCACAAGCGGUGGAG